rnacentral:rRNA from 1 species
UCGCGAAACCUUUUCAAUGCACGAAAGUGUGAGAAGGGAAUUCCAAGUGCUCAAGUUUUACUUGGGCUUUUGCCAAGUGUAAAAAGCUUGGCGAAUAAGGGGUGGGAAAGACUGGUGCCAGCCGCCGCGGUAACACCAGCGCCCCAAGUGGGAAUCACGAUUAUUGGGUCUAAAGCGUUCGUAGCAGGUCUUGUAAAUCUUCUGUGAAAUUGUCCGGCUUAACCGGACAGCGCGCAGAGGACACUGCCGGACUUGAGACCGGGAGAGGUCAGAAGUAUUCUUUGGGUACCGGUAAAAUGGGUUAAUCCAGAGAGGACUACCAAUGGCGAAGGCAUCUGACCAGAACGGUUCUGACUGUGAGGAACGAAAGCUAGGGGAGCAAAACGG